GCGAGGGUGGCGGAAUUGGUAGACGCACUGGAUUUAGGUUCCAGCGGGGCAACCUGUGCGGGUUCGAGUCCCGCCCUUCGCACCA
rnacentral:tRNA from 3 species